rnacentral:lncRNA from 1 species
AGAGUCACCUUCUAAGCACAUGAGAAUGAGAACAUCACCAUGGUGCAGGGCAUCCGACUUUCAGAAAAUAUAAUUGAUGGGAGAAAGCAACUCCCAUCAUCUGAUUUAAUGUCACAGCAGUAUUCUGCUGUUUAUGGUGCAUCAGUUUUUUCAUGAAGAUUUAAAAAGAAGAGUACCUGAGGAACUGGCAUUGGAGCAUGCCCAAAAGAAGAUUCUGAAAAUCAGAAAUGAUUAAAGCAAGGUAAAGAACUGGACCAACCAAGAGAGGGCCACUGCCAAUGAGCUUUGCUUCAGAGAGGCUAUCAAAUGAGGAGGAAGGCUGUAAGGCAAAACACCUGGCUGAGCACCUGGAAGAGAAAGACUUAGUGGCAAAGCAGCAGGAUGCAUUUUAAAAGGAGCAGCUGGCUAGACUGGAGGAGAGGAGCUGAAUUCCACAAAGUCACCACUGAGCAAUAUCAGAAAGCUGCCAAAGAGAGGGCAGCAAAGUUCAGUGACAUGAGUUUUGUCCUGUCUGUGCUGAUCUGCAGGCCAAAAUUCUUCAGUGUUAUCACCAGAGCACACACCAGACCCUCAGUGGCUUUGCACUAGCCAGCGUGUAAGUGUGCUGUGUUCAUUAUGCCAAACAGAACAUGCUUGAGA